rnacentral:rRNA from 1 species
CCUACGGGUGGCAGCAGUGAGGAAUAUUGGUCAACGGACGCAAGACUGAACCAGCCAAGUAGCGUGCAGGAUGACGGCCCUCUGGGUUGUAAACUGCUUUUAGUUGGGGAUAAAAGGGGGCACGUGAGCUCCGUAUUAUAUGUACCAUCAGAAAGAGGAGCGGCUAAUUCCGUGCCAGCAGCCGCGGUAAUACGGAAGGUCCGGGCGUUAUGCGGAUUUAUUGGGUUGAAAGGGAGUGUAGGGCGGCUUUUAAGUCAGCUGGGAAACGCCGCGGCUCAACCGUGGAAUUGCGGUGGAAUCUGGCGGCCUUGAGUGCACACAGGGAUGCCGGAAUUCGUGGUGUAGCGGUGAAAUGCUUAGAUAUCAUGAAGAACUCCGAGCGCGAAGGCAAGUGUCGGCAGUGCUACUGACGCUGAGGCUCGAAGGUGCGGGUAUCAAACAGGAUUAGAUACCCCAGUAGUC